rnacentral:rRNA from 1 species
UACAGAGGUGGCAGCGUUGCUCGGUAUCACUGGGCUUAAAGGGCGCGUAGGCGGUGCGGUACGGUUUCGGUGAAAUCCCUCGGCCCAACCGAGGAACAGCCGGAGCUACGGCCGGACUGAGACGGCAGUCAGGGACAGUGGAACUCCGGUGGAGCGGUGAAAUGCGUAGAGAAUCGGAAAGAACACCAACGGCGGAAAGCACUCUGCUGGGCCGACACUGACACUGAGAGACGAAAGCUA